rnacentral:rRNA from 1 species
UACGUAGGGGGCUAGCGUUGUCCGGAAUCAUUGGGCGUAAAGCGCGCGUAGGCGGCCAGAUAAGUCCGGUGUGAAAGUCAAAGGCUCAACCUUUGAAUGCCGCUGGAAACUGUCUGGCUUGAGUCCGGAAGGGGCGAGUGGAAUUCCUGGUGUAGCGGUGAAAUGCGCAGAUAUCAGGAGGAACACCAAUGGCGAAGGCAGCUCGCUGGAACGGUACUGACGCUGAGGCGCGAAAGCUAGGGUAGCAAACGGG